UGGGGAAUUUUGGACAAUGGGCGCAAGCCUGAUCCAGCCAUGCCGCGUGCGGGAAGAAGGCCUUCGGGUUGUAAACCGCUUUUGUCAGGGAAGAAAAGGUUCUGGCUAAUACCUGGGACUCAUGACGGUACCUGAAGAAUAAGCACCGGCUAACUACGUGCCAGCAGCCGCGGUAAUACGUAGGGUGCAAGCGUUAAUCGGAAUUACUGGGCGUAAAGCGUGCGCAGCGGUUAUGCAAGACAGAGGUGAAUCCCGGGCUCAACCUGGGAACUGCCUUUUGUGACUGCAUGGCUAGAAGUACGGUAGAGGGGGAUGGAAUUCCGCGUGUAGCAGUGAAAUGCGUAGAUAUGCGGAGGAACACCGAUGGCGAAGGCAAUUCCCCUGGACCUGUACUGACGCUCAUGCACGAAAAGCGUGGGGAGCAAACAGGAUUAGAUACCCUGGUAGUCCACGCCCUAAACGAUGUCAACUGGUUGUUGGGAGGGUUUCUUCUCAGUAACGUAUGCUAACGCGUGAAGUUGACCGCCUGGGGAGUACGGCCGCAAGGUUG
rnacentral:rRNA from 1 species